UGCACUCCAUGGAUGUAUGCAAGUUGUCGAU
rnacentral:piRNA from 1 species